rnacentral:rRNA from 1 species
GAUGAACGCUGGCGGCGUGCCUUAUACAUGCAAGUCGAACGAACAGACGAGAUCCUUGCUCCUCUGAUGUUAGCGGGGGAAGGAAGACUAAGACAUGGAUCACCUAGCUAUAGGACAGGGAGAAAUUCGUGUAACAGGAGCUCAUACCGGCUGAUGUUUUGAACAGCAUGCUUCAAGAGUGAAAGACGGUCUUGCUGUCGCUUAUAGAUGGAUCAGUGGUGCAUUAGCUAGUUGGUAAGGUAAAGGCUUACCAAGGCGACGAUGCAUAGCCGGACUGAGAGGAUGAUCGGCCACACUGGGACUGAGACACGGUCCAGACUCCUACGGGAGGCAGCAGUAGGGAAUCUUCCGCAAUGGGCGAAAGCCUGACGGAGCAAUGCCGCGUGAAUGAUGAAGGCCUUCGGGUCGUAAACCGCUUUUGUUAGGGACGAACAGAUUUGUAAGUAACCAGGCGGGUCAUGACGGUACCUUAUCAGAAAGCCCCGGCUAACUACGUG